rnacentral:rRNA from 1 species
CGUAGGUGGCAAGCGUUGUCCGGAUUUAUUGGGUUUAAAGGGUGCGUAGGUGGCCCUGUAAGUCAGUGGUGAAAUAUCUCAGCUUAACUGAGAGGGUGCCAUUGAUACUGCAGGGCUUGAGUGCAGAUGAGGUAGGCGGAAUUGACGGUGUAGCGGUGAAAUGCAUAGAUAUCGUCAAGAACACCGAUAGCGAAGGCAGCUUACCAAGCUGUAACUGACACUGAGGCACGAAAGUGUGGGGAUCAAACAGGAUUAGAUACCCUGGUAGUCCACACUGUAAACGUUGAUGACUCGAUGUUGGCGAUACACAGCCAGCGUCCAAGAGCAAUCGUUAAGUCAUCCACCUGGGGAGUACGCCGGCAACGGUG